rnacentral:lncRNA from 10 species
AAGAGGGAGCUAAGCCUGGAGAGCUGGGUUAAGUCAGACAGACCCAAAAUCUCUUACACUGAGUCUCAACUUAUUGUCCCUUGUGACUCCAAGGUCAACUUCCCUUCCCUGUUGGCUGAGGAUCCAGGUGUGGAGCCAGUCAGCCAAGAUGGGCCCUGGAGGGCCUCUCCUCACCCAGGGAAGGGGAGUGGUUUAAGGAGUUUGGCUGUAUAAUCAAUCAGACCUGAGUUCAAGUC